rnacentral:lncRNA from 1 species
AAGACACUCAGUUCACCCAAGUCCCUCUACAUUUCAUCUCCUCCACCCUAAAAUCCUAAUCCGCCAUUGUCACCGGUGGUAUAUCUCCAAAUCCCACCAGAUCCUGACCAUAGAACCCCUUUGACCUUCCCUUACCCAAUACCUAACUAUAUCUUUUGAAUCGCCACGAAUCGGAGCCAAUUUCAAAUCUCAAAAGGGGAAGAAAAGCAAAAGCAAAAUCUCUUGAAUUCUCUAAGUCUCCAUGACCGGUUAGAGCAUAAAUUGGUGUUUCUCGCUGGAUUUCAACAAGAACUCGUGACUAAUACCAAUUUUAGCUCAAACUGGGUAUAGUGGUGGUCCAUUCAAAGCCAUGGUAGAGGCCUAUCCAUUUUCAAUUAGGUAUUUUAAGCCUUUUCAUUUUUUCGUCUGUUUAACUCAUCUUUCAUUCCCUUUUCGCUCCAUCUGUUCGUCUCUCUAUUAUCUUCUUCAGUCCGAGUCAGUUAUGAUUGCAUGUUUUCAUUUGAAAAUUGUAAAUUCGUGAUUAUUUUAAGUUCUUAUUUCCUUCAUCUUAUUUAAUUUUUUUUGCAAAGGAAGGAAUUUCAAUUUUAUGGGGCAGCUUAGUUUCAACCAGUGGUCUCUGGGUUCAAUUGUGAAUUGGGUUGUGAAAACCAAAGCCUAGGAGGGGGAAUUAAACGGGAAUGACAUGCCUAACAUUUGGGUUUGAUACUUGGGUCAAUUCGUCCCAGGUUGAUUUUUUUAGGAGUAAAUAACUGAGGCAUAAAGGGUACUAUGGGUAAUUGGGUGAGAGAAUCUCCCAAAUAACUAACUAGGAAGCUUCCUAGAAGCUGGGAAAGGGGACUAUUUUAAUGAACUGAAAAUUAACUAAGGAUAGCUAAGCAAAAAAGAAAGUUCACAAAGGGGCAACGUGCAAAAAACUAAAAUCUGAAGCUGCCCUACUUCCUUAUAUAUGAAGGUAGACCAUAAGAGAUAAAAAUCUGAAAAAAUACAAAACGGCCAAAACAUUUUUACUGUUCUAUUGAAAACAUAAGUGAUUUUUUUUACUUCUGAAAAAAAAAGAGUUCCUCUUCCGAUAUUCAAAAUGGAUUGAUGUUUGUUUAUUGAAAGUUGGAUUCAAGCUGGUUGAGGAUCACUAUUCCAUUGGGUUUUCAAGCUGAUUUUUUAGUUCUAAUUGCUGAAUCUGGGUUUGAAGUUUGUGGAUCAAUUUACUGCUUUAUUUAUUUAUGUGUUGACUUCAUUUGGUGUUUCUGCUCUUGAAAUUCAGGUAUUCAUUUUACCUUUCAAUGUAUGAGAAUGGAUGAACAUGAAGUUGGCUUAUUCAAGUUGAUAUUUGAAACUGAGCAAUUGUUUAAAUGAUGAAUCUACACCUUUCAAGCUAGUAAUUGUGUAUUUGGUUUGGUUUUCAAUAUGUAUAAACAAUAUACUUACCUUUUCGUUGUUCAAAUUCCUCAUGAGUUCUUAAAGAUUUCGAGUAGUAUGCUAGUAUAAAUAUUAUGUGUAAAAGGACUUCCAAGGAUAGUCAUAAUGAGUGUUUGGAGAUGUAGUAUUCAGUAUUACUUUUGCUAAACCUAAGAUAUUUGUUUGAAGCUUCCUUUUAAGAAUCUAGACAAUUACUUUGUUUGUUGGUAGAAACUCCUGGUGAUUUUAGGUAUUGAAUGACCCAAAAUCAGUAGAUAUAUUAAUCUCUAUGCAAGAGUAAUGUGAUCGGCUGUGUCAUUAGGAGGUUGAAAUUGUUGAAUUUCACUGCCUAUUGUUAGCUAUUAGAAUUGGAGGAAACCUGAAGUGCCUGGAUUUUAUUUUGGUUGUUUUCAAUGGAUUCAUAUCAAAAUGUGGGAGUCGGGGUUGUAGUGAAAGUAGAGUUAGAGAUGGUCGUGUUCUUCUUUUUCUAAAAUCUGCAGCAACUUACCUUUUUUUCUUUUUGUUUCUCAAGUUCCUGAAUAUUGUUGCCAAUUGAUCUUUGAAUGAGUAUAACUUGUUUUUUUUUUUGGAACUCUGGGUUUACUGAGAAUUAUUGGUUGAAUUAUAGUGGAAAAGAUGUCAUGUUGAUCACUUAGUGGGUACUACUCUAUUUAAUUAAAAGCUGUUGUUAUUUUGUUU